CCUACGGGAGGCAGCAGUAAGGGAUAUUGGACAAUGGUCGCAAGACUGAUCCAGCCAUGCCGCGUGAAGGAUGACGGCCCUAUGGGUUGUAAACUUCUUUUGUAUGAGAAAAAACCCCUCUACGUGUAGAGGGCUGAUUGUAUCAUAAGAAUAAGGAUCGGCUAACUCCGUGCCAGCAGCCGCGGUAAU
rnacentral:rRNA from 1 species